rnacentral:rRNA from 1 species
AAGUGGGCCUAAAAGCAGCCACCUUACAAAAAGCGUUAAAGCUUCAUUGGUUAAAUUAAAAAUUUCAUUAAAUUAAUUACAACCCCUAAUCUGUACUGAAUGAUCUCAUAAUAUUAUGAGAGCCUAUAUGUUAGAACUAGUAACAAGAAGAAGUCCUUCUCCAAAAUGUAAGCAUGAGCCAAAAUGAACAAUUCAUUGGCAAUUAAAGUUAAAUAUUUAUUGUAGUAACCCAACAAGAAAAACCUACUAAUUAUUAGCGUCAACCUUACACUAGUACAUUUCUGGAAAGAUUAAAAGAAUGGGAAGGAACUCGGCAAAUAAUUAACCCCGCCUGUUUACCAAAAACAUCGCCUCCUGAUAUUUUAUAGGAGGUCCAGCCUGCCCAGUGACAAAGUUAAACGGCCGCGGUACCCUAACCGUGCAAAGGUAGCGCAAUCACUUGUUCUUUAAAUGAGGACUAGUAUGAACGGCAUCACGAGGGUUAUGCUGUCUCCCCACUCUAUUCAGUGAAACUGAUUUUCCCGUGAAGAAGCGGGAAUAAAAAUAUAAGACGAGAAGACCCCAUGGAGCUUUAAACUCAGUAUCAACUGCCUAACUAAAAAACCUUAUAUUUUGCAGCCAUGCUUACUAGAUUUCGGUUGGGGUGACCACGGAGUAAAACUAAACCUCCAUGAUGAAAGGAACUAAUAACCUAACCUAUGAGCUACAGCUCUAAGUAUCAACAAAUUGACUAAAUUGACCCAAUUACUUGAUCAACAAACCAAGUUACCCUGGGGAUAACAGCGCAAUCCAUUUCAAGAGCUCAUAUCGACAAAUGGGUUUACGACCUCGAUGUUGGAUCAGGGUAUCCCAGUGGCGCAGCUGCUACUAACGGUUC